AUGAUGUCAUACUUGUGGAUUUUCGUCCUUGGAAGUUUAAUCGUGACUGGAGUGAAGAUGCAAGACGAUGGAGUGGAAGGCGCAGACAAUGCCGAUUCUCCGGCAGAUGAGCUCGCUCCAGAGGACUCAACCGUUCCUGCUGAAGCUGCAGACGCUGAAGAACCAGCUAAAGAACCAUCACCUGAAGAAACAUCACCUGGAGAAAUAUCACCUGAAGAAACACCUGAAGACCCAGCGGAGGAUGCUGUGGAUGAGGCAGCAGCUACUGCAGAGCCUGAAGACACCAACCCUGAGUCAGACGCUGCGAUAGAAGAGGCUGAAGAAACACCAGCAGCUGAAGAGAAACCUGCUGAAGCAGAAGCAGAAGAAGCAGCGGCUCCUGAAGCAGAUGACGCCGAUGCAACUAAAACAGAAGCCGAUCCACCUGCUGAAGAUCCUGAACAAGAAAUCAAGCCCGAAGAAGCUCCAGAUGAUGCAGAAACAGAGGAAGCACAAGAGGAAGCAGAAGGAGGGGAAGCAGAAGCAGGUGCAGAGACUGAAGCAGACUUUACUGCUGUACCAGAGGAACCUGUGGACCCUGAAGGGGCUGUGGAAGAUAUGUCUGCAGAAUUCGAUCUUUCUGAUGCGUUCGAAGAGAAAGCACAACCACAGGAUCCAGUAAAGACAAAAAUGGGAGAUGCAGACCAGCACAGCGCAGGUCAAGGCAGAGCUCGCAGUGCUGGAGCAGUUUCUGAGCCGAACGACAGUGGAUCUGGUACGGUUGUUGGUGUUGUUUGUGGGAUUGCAGUAGCAGCUGUUGGUGCCAUAAUCGGAUACUUCACCUACCAGAAGAAGAAACUGUGCUUCAAGGUCCAGAGAGGUGAUCCAGAGAGUGCCAAAGAAGAGAACGGCACACAGAACCCUGAGGUUUUAAGCACCCUCCUGAAGUCAUCUGAACACGCCCCUGCAGCCGGCAGUGAACUUGCGUGAAGCUACUGUGAACUGCUUUACAUGGGAGCAGGACGUUGUAACUACCCACAUCUUGAGAACCGGAUGAACUUCACAAACACAUUCACAGUACAGAAAGUCAGCACAAAUAUCAUUUCUACACUCACUCUGAGUUCCUGACGCACAUUAAGUCCUUUUUCAUAAUAUCUCAUCUUCCUACUGCUUCGACUACAGUUCUAAACUAGCACAUAGGACUGUUAAUAAUACAUGUUUUGAAUGUAAUUUCACAUCGUUUGAGUGGAACGGGAUGUGUGCGUGUAUGCAUGUGUAAUUCGACAGCCUUUUGGUAGAGGCAUUUCAUUUCGUUACUUUAAAAAAUGUCGUUUGGUUUCAUUACUGUGUCAUUGAUCGCAGUUUUGUUUGAUGUCAAAUUGUUGCCUCUGAUUCAUAAAAGAGCAAAUCUCACAAUGUGGAAUGAUUCAAAUUGUAUUGUCUGACCAAACAGAAUUCAUAGGAAUUUUUCUUUCUAUUUUUUGUUUUGUUUUAAAAUUCUGUAAAUAAUUGUUGCGUUUGAAUAAAGAGUGGUUACAUUUAAAAGACGUUACACAUUUAAUUGCACAGUUUCAUAAUGCAACGAAAAAAAAAAAACAGAAUUGCAAAUAAAUUAAACAAGCUAAUCAUGCUAGAACCAUGCUAACAAGAUGGUAGCAAAAUGCUAAUCAUGCUAGAAACAUGCUAGCAUCAAUAUAUCUAUUCUAUCUAUCUAAAUUUUCCAACUUCAAUCUUUUACAACUGCUUUAAACUUUCAGGCUUGAUUUUCUCAAGCCAACCUAAAGUUUGUCUUCAUGGAUUUGUAGUUUUAGCUGUACAUAAUCAAACAAUAUAAUAUAUAUUGAAUAUGAAUGUACAUAAAUAUAUAAUAAUGCUAUUAAUAAUACUAAUAAUAAUAACAAUAAUUUACAUUGUGAUAUAAUACAAAUUAUAUUAUUCCAUGAUACAGCGC
ensembl:lncRNA